rnacentral:lncRNA from 1 species
AGGUCUCCUCCAAGUGUGGGUCUAAGGCUAACAUCAAGCACAAGCCUGGUGGAGGAGAUGUCAAGAUUGAAAGUCAGAAGUUGAACUUCAAGGAGAAGGCCCAGGCCAAGGUGGGAUCCCUCGAUAAUGUGGGCCACCUACCUGCAGGAGGUGCUGUGAAGUCCUGACUGAGGCAGAAGUGAAGAGGCCCCAGCCCAGCCACCCCUCACCUGUCAGCUGGAGGCAGAACCUUGCUCCUGAGAGCCAUGGCCUUCCUAAUUGAGCCCAUCCAGCCAUUUGAGAAGGCCACGGACUGGGACACAGACCACCCCCAGACUGAGGGCGGUGGCAGCGAGGCUCCUCUGUGUCCGGGUCCCCCUGCUGGGGAGGAGCCGGCCAUCUCUGAGGCAGCGCCUGAAGCUGGCGCCCCCACUUCAGCCAGUGGCCUCAAUGGCCACCCCACCCUGUCAGGGGGUGGUGACCAAAGGGAGGCCCAGACCUUGGACAGCCAGAUCCAGGAGACAAAUUGAGACCUACAGGCUGACGUUCCGGGCAAAUGCCAGGGCCCGCACCGACCACGGGGCCGACAUUGUCUCCCGCCCCCCACACUUCCCUGGCGGCCCCAACUCGGGCUCCCGGGUCCUUGGCCCCCUUUCCCGGGCUGUCCACUAGACCAGUGAGCGCUUGGGCGCCGUGCUGGGCAGCCCGCUAGGCUCGCCUUCCCUCCUGCUUUGCGUGCCCGGGGCAGCAGCAGCCCUGCCCCACACCUCCUCUCACUCCCCAGCCUGGGCCCAUCUCCCUGCUUUGGUCUUGCCCCAUCACUGCGCCACUGCUCCGUGGAGGAGGUUGGGAGGGGGUUGGGGUGGUUGAGGCUAAGUUGGGAUCUAGGAGAGGAGAACCAGAUUCUAUCCUCAUCUUUUUUUGGUUCUUUGGUCCAAACCCAAAAGAAACUGACAUGCCCUCCCUUCUCCCUGGAUCUACCUGGAGGGAAGAGUGGAGGUGGAUUCCGAGUGGUGACAGGACGCUGACCGUGGAGCUUAAGCCACUGCCUCUCCCUCUGGUCCCACAAAUGGGCGCCCCCCCCUCCCCAUGCAGGUGGUGUCGGGCCCUUCUUGCUGCCCUGCCCCAAGUUGGGGGUCAGUGCUGCCUGUCCCCAUGCUUAACAUACCCGCCUAGCUGCUGUCACAUUUUUCUUGUUUUGUCCUUUUAUUUUUUUCUAAUAACCUAAAAACUGGCAAAAUAGUUCUGCAGGUUGAAGCCAUGUCUACAUGAAAGUCCUCAGUAAGUGUUAGAGGGAACAGGGCGGAGAUAUCCUUAUGCCACCCCCGCUGGAGGAUGUGGGCAGCUUAGGGCCCUGGAGGCGGUGCGGCAGGGAAGAGGGGUGCAGAGGCUGUGGCUGGUGAGCCGGUCAGGCACACAAGGGGCCCUUGGAGCGUGGACUGGUUGGUUUUGCCAUUUUGUUGUGUGUAUGCUGCUUUUCUUUUCUAACCAAGAGGCUGGUUUUGGCAUCUCUGUCCCAUUCCCUGGGAUCUGGUGGUCAGCCCUAGGAUAAAAAGCCAGGGCUGGAGAACAAGAAAGGGCCAGGAGAUGGAAUUCCUUCAGGCCGGCACCCACACCCUAGGACAUGUAAGCCCUCAUGUCCAAGGGAGCCUCAUGCAGAUAGUAGGAAAUCAGGUCUGGAAAUUUAAAAAUAAAAGGCAUGAGACUAAGGCUAUCUGCUUCCCUUAUGCCCUGACUGGAGAGGGGAGGGAGGAGAGGCAAGGCCCACAGAGGGCAUCCCAGCUAGGCCUUGGGAUGGCUGCAGUGAGGAGAAAUCCCGGGAACUGUAUUGACACAAAGAUUCUUAUUGCACUUGUAUUUUUUGUAUUAAAGUUUGCAUGGUUUCUAAUAAAGGAUUCAAACAUAAGUUUGUAGUGAAAUGGCCUGGGAGAUUCCAAGGGCUUCUCUGGAGGGGGAUUGGCUGCAGUGUAGAUUUGCCUCUGAGGAGGCUGCCCCAGACUUGGCCUCCUCAUGCCCCCUCCUGACCUCUGCCCUUCUCUGGUCCUGGCAUCCCUGGAGAAGGUAGGGGUCUUGACCUAAGUUUAGAUUUGAUCUCCAUGUGCAGGGAGGCUGUCCUGGGCCUGACAGGUCCUCCCCCUUUCUGAGGUAGCAGUGCCUUGUGGAGGUUUGACACCAUGUCCCUAGCUCCCCAAGCACACACCAGGAAACUGCAGGGGCUCACGGAGGAAGUGCUGCCUGGGCCAGGGGGACCAGCUUUCCUCCGUAGAGACCAUGUGCAGAACACUUCUGCUGUGCCAAGAACAUGAGGGAGCCAGUGUUUUGUCAGCAGGAAGAAAGGGCCUGCUGGGAUGAAAGUGGGAAGGAAACAGGGUUGCGUAGUCAGGAGACACCUCAGGGGCAACAGCACAGGCCCAGAGUACCUGCUGCCUCCACUGCGUCUGUCCUGGGGUCAUGAGGAUGCUGAGGUUGACGACAGGUUCCAGGUCCUUUCACUCCUUUGGCCAAAGGUUGGGGGUAGGUGGCCCAAGUGGCGUGCUCUCUAGGUAGACAACAGGAGUGGUCAGAGUUCCCUCAAAGGAUCCUCCACUCCAGAGCACCUGAGAAGGCCGGGACCAGAGGCCCUGUGUGAUGUGUACUCCGCAGCUGUUUGGGGUGGGACAUUUCUGUACUUCUCGAUUUGCUUAUGGCUCAGCCAUUACCUGUGUCAGUCCAUGAUUCUGUUGUAACAGUUUUAAGAGUAAAUAAAU